AUUGAACGCUGGCGGCAUGCUUUACACAUGCAAGUCGAACGGUAACAGGCCUUCGGGUGCUGACGAGUGGCGAACGGGUGAGUAAUGCAUCGGAACGUGCCCAGAGGUGAGGGAUAACGCAGCGAAAGCUGUGCUAAUACCGCAUGUGAUCUGAGGAUGAAAGCGGGGGACCAGGCAGCAAUGUUUGGCCUCGCGCCUUUGGAGCGGCCGAUGUCAGAUUAGGUAGUUGGUGGGGUAAAGGCCUACCAAGCCGACGAUCUGUAGCUGGUCUGAGAGGACGACCAGCCACACUGGGACUGAGACACGGCCCAGACUCCUACGGGAGGCAGCAGUGGGGAAUUUUGGACAAUGGGCGCAAGCCUGAUCCAGCAAUGCCGCGUGCGGGAAGAAGGCCUUCGGGUUGUAAACCGCUUUUGUACGGAACGAAAAGGCUCUGGCUAAUACCUGGGGCUGAUGACGGUACCGUAAGAAUAAGCACCGGCUAACUACGUG
rnacentral:rRNA from 1 species